UGCGGGAGGUGGGGGAGAGGAGCUCGUUUUCACCUAGGGAAGACGAAUGACAGCCAUAGAAGAAGAGGCAUCAUCCUGUCUCUAAAUGGCAGGAGGACUUUGUAUAAGCCUUCCAGACAAUGGAAGCCAUGUGGGCGAAGACUCAGGAGCCGACCUCUGUCAUAGCAGCCUUUCAAACAUGAUGUAGAAGCGAUAUUCAUCUUACUGGGCCCGUAGACAUGAGAAGGAACCACGUACCAUCCAAAGGCCCGGGGAAGAAAUUACAGGUAAAGAACAAGCCCAAGGUGAGAUCCUUAGCCCUGAAAACAUUUCUCCAGGGAGGCAACAGUCAUCAUCAGCCAUCUCACAGAAAUCCCAGCCUAAAGAACAAAGUCUAGUGGAGCAGUGCUUACCAUGGCUGCAGGAAACCAGGACACUAGAGAGUCACUGCCCUUGGUGGGGUCCUGGAAAACAGGAAUUUUCCCACUUUGCAAAGAGAGAAGUCACAGAGAGAGGAUGGACCUUCAUCUCCAGUGAAAAAUUAAACUGCCCAGAGUUUCCUAUUGAAUAAAUUUCCAGAGAUCCAUCAAGGUACCCUGGGUAACUCUUGACAUGGCAAAUCAAAAGAGAAAACAGGUGUUAAGUUCCAUUCCAAUACUGGGGCUUUAUUGUCUGCCUUAAUCAAUUAUCUAGGACGUGUGUGUGUGUGUGUGUGUGUGUGUGUGUGUGUGUGUGUGUGUGUGUGUGUAGAAACAGGAGUUGAUGAGAAUGUCCCCCAAACCAAAUGCACUCUUGUUUCAGCUCUAGCCUUGAAGACUGCCCUGCACAUGGCCUAGUAGCAAGGCAUGGCAUUGGAAGUCCUCACUUAAAAGCUGGAGGGCAUUUCUAAGCCAGGGCUUACUUCUCC
rnacentral:lncRNA from 1 species